AGAACCUAUGGGCACAAAAAGCAGGAACGAGUAGCGGUGGCUGAAGAACGAGCAGGAGCUUGAAUUUCAGUUUUCUUAUGAGGAAUUUUCCAGAAAAGAUAUCUUCACUGUGAAAUAACUAAAUAAAUGCCCACUCAGUACAGUCACUGUCUCCCUUUUGGAACUUGAUGGCACCUUAAGCCCAGGUUUGCCUCCACUCUAGAAACUCAUCAGAGUGAUGCCCUUCUCAAAUGGGGGAGGUCCCAAAGCGGAUAUCCUGGCAGUGUGAAAGGCCGGCUAAAGCUUUCCCUGCACUCCAAACACAGAGCUGAGACUUCCACCUAAUGUAGAAAGCUAGCACGAGCCGGCGCUGACAGAUGGAAGACUUGAGAUGUUACAAGAUUAUAUAUGGAAACACAAAAGGAGUGGAGUUGCUGGGUCAUAUGGCAAUUCAUUUGAGGAACUGAGAAGCUUAUUCCAUGGAGGCUGAACUGUUUUAUAUUCCCACCAGCAACGUAUUCUGUAUCCUCCAUAGUCCUAUUCAUGACAUGGGUCGUUCAUCUCUGUAUUCUAAACCCUCAAUGAACUGUAGACAGUAAUAAAUAUUUAUUGGAUGAA
ensembl:lncRNA CHROMR cholesterol induced regulator of metabolism RNA